AGUAUAAUCAGCAAAAUUAAUAUUUUCUUCAUCAUUCUAUACAUAACAGUGAACAAGAGGUAGUUUUAAUAUUUACAAUUUCUUAUGUUGUAAUUGGGUGCAGUACAGAUUUACCUGCCAACAAGACAUCUCUGAGCAUUUCAACCUGGAACCUGCCAUGUUUUCAUCAUUAAAAUAUGGCGGAUUUAAAUAAUUCAAGGAAAAAUGAUUCUACUAAUUGUAACAAAACAACUUACAAUUAUGUUACUUUAGUAUACACUAUCUUUCCUUAGUAUAACUCAUUUAAUUCCAAGCUUAAACGAUUCCAUUUUUAAAACAGCUAUUUUUAAAUUUAAGAACUUCCUGACAACUUGAAAAUUUAAGAGUUUUCAACAUGAAAAGGAUCUUUUGUGAGUUUGAGUUCCUGUACUUAGAAAUGUAUACUUUUGUGUGUCUAUAUAAUUUGUUCAAAGUUAAAAUUUUGACUUAAGGAAAAAUUCAGGGGCUGGGUGUCUAGCUCAGCAGUGUAAGCGCCUGCCUGGCAAGCGCAAGGUUGUAAGGCCGAUUCCUGAUACAAAGACAAAAAAGAAAAAGAGGGAAAAUUCAUUUGAUAUUUGUAAACUGCUGAAUGUAUUCAAUCUCCACAUAAACUCCUUAUUUUAAAAUAGGACUGAUAAUUGGUGAAUAUGUGUUAUAGAAUUAAACUAAGCGCUAAAUGAAACCCAUGACGCCCUUAGUAUCCUUUAUGGGAUAUUCCUCAAUGCUAUCUAUCAUUAUUGUAAGUGUCAAUUUAGAUCCCAGAGUUCAGAUUCUUCGCUCUUAUAAUUCCCCCUCUUCAUUUGCUCACAGAUUGCUCUUGGAAAAAGUUUUACCUAUUAACUUGUCUGCAUAAAGUAGUGUUCACUUAAUAAAUGCAGUGACAGGCAAUCUAAAACUUGCCUUUGCCCAGCUGAACUCACUUUAGUGUUGUGAAUCUCCAAUCAACUUUGCAAACCAAAAUUUGGAUAAUCCUUAGGAUGUCCAAAGUACUUCCACUCAUGGAUUAUUAGAUUGUGCACUGUUGUUAAAUGUGACAAUUUCCACAAAGAUUUUGUCAGCAAAUGGAGGAGUUUUUGAGUCGUGAAACAAACUGACCAUUCCAGGAAGAGGAACUAAACAGACUCUCUGCUGUGCUUCUAAGUAUAAAUUAGAAUGUAAGUAUUGUACUUUCUUUUUCAAUGUAAGUCCACAAUAUCACUGUGCUCUGGAGCAUUGGUUGGACUGGAAUUAGGUAGAUCUAUUCAGCACAGAGAGUUGCUGGGAAAUGCAGCCUGCUUCUCCACAUGUGCUAAUAAUAGGCUGAAAUGAUUCGAAAGGAGAUCUUUCACUGAAUGCCAUUUCACUUCAAGUUUUAGUUAAACUGGAAGAGGUUGUUUCAUGCAUGCAUCAUUUUCUCAAAUGUAAUUUUUAAAUAAAUGUGUCCAUAUUACUUCCCCCAAAGUGAUUAUCAAACUUUUUUUUUUUUUUGUUUCUCGGUACCAGGGUUUGAACACAUGACACAGCGCGUGCAAGGCAGGCGCUUAUGCUGCUGAGAUAAAUCACCAGCCCCAUGACUGUCAGGCUUUUGAAAAUCAGCUUAGAUAUGGAUGCUUGAAACACAGUCCAGUAUUAAAUCAUUGAAUGCAUUUUUAUCAAAUCAUAUCUGGAAUGAUAUGUAUAGUCUUAAUUUUCAAAAGGAUACCUUUGGCUGGUUUUUAAGACCUCACAUACAAAUACUCCUAGACUCAUCUGUGGGGGAGUGCAGUGACUAAGGUUCCUGAAUCUGACAUGAUCCCAAGCCACUAGCCACAGGCUAUUCCCUUUCAAGUCAUUUUCUGCAGCUGCAGUGUGGAAUUAUUUAUAAAUAAUUUUUCUUCACAAAUUGAAGCACACUGCAUACAGAAUGUAUUUAUUCAGCAGUCAAACCAGGGGGGAAGAAAUGGUAGGUUAUGUUAAAGGGAAAUAAAAGGUGGAAUAAUCAUAGUUAUGGUCAGGUAAUUGCAAGGGCAAUGACCUUGCUAAGGCAGCAAUUUUCCAGGAGCACAAUAUUGUUUUUCCACCUUAUAAACUAUACAGAGUAUACUAAUAUAAAAGUAUACUAUACCAAUAUAAGCCAAUUUUUUUUUUAAAAAUGCUUGACACAGGUUUUCAAUGGUCAUGAGGCAAAACUCUAAUGAAAAAGUGAAAAUACAAUAAACUUUUUAUUGAUAAGUGGAAAAGUAGGAGAAAGGCACAGUAGAACAGAAGUAGAUUUUCAGAGUAAAGCAUCAGCAAAUGGUCUGACAAAAGAAUCCCAAACUUUAGAAUCGAUCCUGUUGUAAUAGCAAGAAAAUCUGCCAGUUUGAGGAGACAGCACUGAUACUCAGAAAUAAAAAAGCUAUUCAGUGGACAGGUGGGCUUCAUCACAAAGUGACUAUAGAGAACAAUGCCUUCCCCAGUGUAUUACUGAAAAUAAUGGCCCCAUGGGCAGGAGGUCCGCCUAGGUGCACUUGGAAAUUUUGGUAAGUCUGUUUAUUUUUUUCAAAUUAUUCAGUUUUCUUCCUUCCUUUACUGAAAUGCUACUCAGCCUAUUGGGGUAGCCCCAUACCUUGCUGUACAUAAAGGAAAUCUAUCAGAUGUAAAUUGAAGACACUUUUAUAACCUGCCAAAGAGUUUAGGCUCCUGUUUCACAAUGUAACUGUAUCUAUGAGAAAUAAAAUGUCUUCUUGGCUGUCACUUACCCUUUGACUCAAGGACUAGAUUCAACACAUGCUGAACACACAUGAAAGAAACUUACAGCUGAUAUACAUGACAGAAACAAACCAUAAAAUAUGCAGCUAGAAACAUUCAACAAAUCAAACCUUAUCUGUGUCAAGGGUUACCCAGUGGAUAUAUACUUGUGAUAAUAAAAUACAAUGUUUUACUUUGUGACAGAGUUUUACUGGACUUUUUAAAGAGUUGUUUACAGUAGCAUUACCAUAUCUAUACCCAAAUUUACAUAUGAAAUAUAUGACAAUAGAGCUUGAGACCAGAUGGUGAGAGGAAGCAAAUUGUUAACAAAAUGACUGUUCUAUAAAUUAACUACACAUAAAAAAGUCAGAUGAUUCAAAAUGUAUUACUAACUACAUUGAAAAAACAUGCAUAGGGUUGUUCAAGAAGAAAAAUUAAUAAUAUAAGAUUACCAUUACACUUGUACACAAGGAUGAGAUUAAACAUUUCAGAACUAAAAAGGAAUAGGCAAUGUUUAACCUAAGUAGGUGCAGUAACUUCCGUGUGUUUGACCAUGAAAACUCAUAUAACUCUAAUGGUAUAAACCAAUAAAUGCCCACUCUGUUUCCAUAUUCUUUAGCACUCUGUGGAAUAGACAUGCACAUUUCUUCAUGUCGGUAAACAAUGAAAAUAUCAGGAUCUCCACGUGCCUGCGGCCAUAGCAAGAGGUCAGCCAGUGGACAUCCCAGUAAGAGAUCAACCACCAAUGGGCUUAAGAUUAGCCCAAGAGGCCACAGACCAUGCUGUCCACUCUUGGUCCAAAAACCAGUGUCACCAAAUGACGGACCCCAACAUGAGUCCAGGCUGACUUCAGUUCCCAGAAUCCUUCCAAAGAGCUGCAUUCUUCUAAUAUGGGAAGCGCUCUCAGAGAACAGCAGCAUUGCCUUCUAGUGCUAAUAGACUCCGGGAGCCAUCAUAUCAGAGCACUGCCACACAGAUUGGAACUGGAUUCAGAUCCCAGGACCACUCGUGGUGUAAGAUCAGAACCUCUUUUAGAAGUGGUAGAACAGUGAUGAACACUGUUACUUCUUAUCAGUGUACCAAAGCAACAAGAUGUCAUUAAUGUAAUAGGAAAUUUAAUACUCUGUAUGUUCAUCUACUUGUGUUCUGUGGUAUCUUAAUUAUAGUCAUCGUGGAAGUCCUUGUUUAGCCUGGCACAGAAAGUAAUUGCAGACCGAAAGUAAUUGUGGUGCAUCCAGAGACACAGGAUAAUUGUUCAGUUUGUCUCUGCCUAACACUGGGGAUUUUCAUGUAUUAAUUCAGUAUCUAAUUGCCAUACUUCUUGAGGCAUGUGCGAGUGAAGGAUGCUUAGGCACGAUGCCAAGUGUAAUCUCAUGGAAAGAGAGGAUACUAUUGAGGUCAUAAUAUCUGCAAUCACUUUGGGAUAAAACCAGACUAACAGGUUCUAAAUGUAAAUGUAUGCAGACGAUUUUCAUUAAUUUAUCUCAUUGAAAAAU